GGCUCGGUCGAGAGGCCGGCCCGUGGGCGUAGCGGAUCCUCGCCAUUGGCUGGAGUGUCCCGUUGUCGUGGUUUCGGUUGUCUGGAGUUGACUUCCCCUUGUUGGGAGUUAGCCUCUGGUGAUCGGGGUCGGGCACUCCCCUCCCCCUUUUUCCCCCGUCUUUGGGGUCUUUGGGGCCGCUUUUUCAUAAGCACUUUGAGGAACAUGAAUUCUGAGACUGAGCCUGGGCCCUUGUGUCACCGUUGUAGGUGACGCAGCCCGAGUCAAAAACCAAAAUAACGACUCUCAGCAACGGAUAUCUUGGCUCUUGCAACGAUGAAGAACGCAGCGAAAUGCGAUACCUAGUGUGAAUUGCAGAAUUCCGCGAAUCAUCGAGUCUUUGAACGCAAGUUGCGCCCGAGGCUUGUCCCGAGGGCAUGCCUGCCUGAGCGUCACCGCACUCCCACCUGGACACUCUCCAGUGUGGAAUUGGCCGUCCGGGGCCCAGCAUAGAAGCUUUGGGUCGCGGUGGGCUGAAAUUUAGCUAUCUGGGCGCAGCCGAAGAGAGAGGCCGCGAGAAGGUGAUCUGCUCUUGGCGGAGCGGGGUCUAAUUGGACAGCGCCUCUCCCUUUGGUGGCCUAGAUGGUGGCACUCAAAAGUGUCAUUGGGGGAGUGCAAGUAACAUUGCAUGUCCCCUCCCCUACAGCUUGGACCUCAGAUCAGGCAAGAUUACCCGCUGAGUUUAAGCAUAUCA
rnacentral:rRNA from 1 species